rnacentral:ncRNA from 2 species
AAGCUGGUACGUGACUGGCGUCAGAUGGAUUUAACCAUCAGGGAGCGUGCCAAUAUAUAGAAUGCCGAACGCCUGGGCAGCUGAA